UACGGGAGGCAGCAGUGGGGAAUAUUGCACAAUGGGCGCAAGCCUGAUGCAGCCAUGCCGCGUGUAUGAAGAAGGCCUUCGGGUUGUAAAGUACUUUCAGUCGUGAGGAAGGUGUUAAGGUUAAUAACCUUAGCAAUUGACGCUAGCGACAGAAGAAGCACCGGCUAACUCCGUGCCAGCAGCCGCGGUAAUACGGAGGGUGCGAGCGUUAAUCGGAAUUACUGGGCGUAAAGGGCACGCAGGCGGUUAAUUAAGUUGGAUGUGAAAUCCCCGGGCUUAACCUGGGAAUGGCAUUCAAGACUGGUUAGCUAGAGUCUUGUAGAGGGGGUAGAAUUCCAUGUGUAGCGGUGAAAUGCGUAGAGAUGUGGAGGAAUACCGGUGGCGAAGGCGGCCCCUGGGACAAAGGCUGACGCUCAUGUGCGAAAGCGUGGGGAGCAAACGAGGAUUAGAUA
rnacentral:rRNA from 1 species